rnacentral:pre_miRNA from 1 species
CGGGGGAACUCGGGAUCCUGGGCUGUGUCCCCCGGCACCCUGGGAUCCGGGGCCUGUGCUGCUGGAAUCGCGCUCCCGGGCGGGGCUCCCG